rnacentral:piRNA from 1 species
UGAAACGUGAAAGUGGAAUCUUUGAACUCU